rnacentral:rRNA from 1 species
CAUGUAGGCGGUUUAAUAAGUGUGGAUUUAAAGACCGGAGCUCAACUCCGUGUAUGGUCUGCAAACUGUUAAACUUGAGUAUGGGAGAGGAGACUGGAAUUCCACGUGUAAGGGUAAUAUCUGUAGAUAUGUGGAAGAAUACCAAUGGCGAAGGCAAGUCUCUGGCCUGUAACUGACGCUAAUGUGCGAAAGCGUGGGGAGCGAACA